UGGGGAAUAUUGCGCAAUGGGCGGAAGCCUGACGCAGCGACGCCGCGUGGGGGAUGAAGGCCUUCGGGUUGUAAACCUCUUUCACCACCGACGAAGCUAACGUGACGGUAGGUGGGGAAGAAGCGCCGGCUAACUACGUGCCAGCAGCCGCGGUAAUACGUAGGGCGCAAGCGUUGUCCGGAAUUAUUGGGCGUAAAGAGCUCGUAGGCGGUCUGUUGCGUCUGCCGUGAAAACCCGAGGCUUAACCUCGGGCCUGCGGUGGAUACGGGCAGACUAGAGGUAGGUAGGGGAGAAUGGAAUUCCCGGUGUAGCGGUGAAAUGCGCAGAUAUCGGGAGGAACACCGGUGGCGAAGGCGGUUCUCUGGGCCUUACCUGACGCUGAGGAGCGAAAGCAUGGGGAGCGAACAGGAUUAGAUACCCUGGUAGUCCAUGCCGUAAACGUUGGGCGCUAGGUGUGGGGUCUUUCCACGGACUCCGUGCCGUAGCUAACGCAUUAAGCGCCCCGCCUGGGGAGUACGGCCGCAAGGCUAAAACUC
rnacentral:rRNA from 1 species